rfam:Capsicum annuum cultivar Zunla-1 chromosome 8, whole genome shotgun sequence
ACUUUGUGAUUUAGGCAUUGAAUGAUUUUAUCCUUGAACCUUUGUCAUACUUCAUAUAAAGUCUCACCACUAUAUUGAUGGAAAUUUGUGAUUUCUUCCCUUAAUUU